rnacentral:rRNA from 1 species
CGUUCUCGGGUCUUGUACACACCGCCCGUCAAGUGAGCCGAGUUGGGGGUAGCUGAAGCGGUCCUUUAUGGACUUCGAGGCUAAAUUCAGCGAGGAGCGCU